UUAAGCGACUAAGCGUACACGGUGGAUGCCCUGGCAGUCAGAGGCGAUGAAGGACGUGCUAAUCUGCGAUAAGCGUCGGUAAGGUGAUAUGAACCGUUAUAACCGGCGAUUUCCGAAUGGGGAAACCCAGUGUGAUUCGUCACACUAUCAUUAACUGAAUCCAUAGGUUAAUGAGGCGAACCGGGGGAACUGAAACAUCUAAGUACCCCGAGGAAAAGAAAUCAACCGAGAUUCCCCCAGUAGCGGCGAGCGAACGGGGAGCAGCCCAGAGCCUGAAUCAGUGUGUGUGUUAGUGGAAGCGUCUGGAAAGGCGUGCGAUACAGGGUGACAGCCCCGUACACAAAAAUGCACAUACUGUGAGCUCGAUGAGUAGGGCGGGACACGUGGUAUCCUGUCUGAAUAUGGGGGGACCAUCCUCCAAGGCUAAAUACUCCUGACUGACCGAUAGUGAACCAGUACCGUGAGGGAAAGGCGAAAAGAACCCCGGCGAGGGGAGUGAAAAAGAACCUGAAACCGUGUACGUACAAGCAGUGGGAGCACGCUUAGGCGUGUGACUGCGUACCUUUUGUAUAAUGGGUCAGUGACUUAUAUUCUGUAGCAAGGUUAACCGAAUAGGGGAGCCGAAGGGAAACCGAGUCUUAACUGGGCGUUAAGUUGCAGGGUAUAGACCCGAAACCCGGUGAUCUAGCCAUGGGCAGGUUGAAGGUUGGGUAACACUAACUGGAGGACCGAACCGACUAAUGUUGAAAAAUUAGCGGAUGACUUGUGGCUGAGGGUGAAAGGCCAAUCAAACCGGGAGAUAGCUGGUUCUCCCCGAAAGCUAUUUAGGUAGCGCCUCGUGAAUUCAUCUCCGGGGGUAGAGCACUGUUUACGGCAAGGGGGUCAUCCCGACUUACCAACCCGAUGCAAACUGCGAAUACCGGAGAAUGUUAUCACGGGAGACACACGGCGGGUGCUAACGUCCGUCGUGAAGAGGGAAACAACCCAGACCGCCAGCUAAGGUCCCAAAGUCAUGGUUAAGUGGGAAACGAUGUGGGAAGGCCCAGACAGCCAGGAUGUUGGCUUAGAAGCAGCCAUCAUUUAAAGAAAGCGUAAUAGCUCACUGGUCGAGUCGGCCUGCGCGGAAGAUGUAACGGGGCUAAACCAUGCACCGAAGCUGCGGCAGCGACGCUUAUGCGUUGUUGGGUAGGGGAGCGUUCUGUAAGCCUGUGAAGGUGUACUGUGAGGUAUGCUGGAGGUAUCAGAAGUGCGAAUGCUGACAUAAGUAACGAUAAAGCGGGUGAAAAGCCCGCUCGCCGGAAGACCAAGGGUUCCUGUCCAACGUUAAUCGGGGCAGGGUGAGUCGACCCCUAAGGCGAGGCCGAAAGGCGUAGUCGAUGGGAAACAGGUUAAUAUUCCUGUACUUGGUGUUACUGCGAAGGGGGGACGGAGAAGGCUAUGUUGGCCGGGCGACGGUUGUCCCGGUUUAAGCGUGUAGGCUGGUUUUCCAGGCAAAUCCGGAAAAUCAAGGCCGAGGCGUGAUGACGAGGCACUACGGUGCUGAAGCAACAAAUGCCCUGCUUCCAGGAAAAGCCUCUAAGCAUCAGGUAACAUCAAAUCGUACCCCAAACCGACACAGGUGGUCAGGUAGAGAAUACCAAGGCGCUUGAGAGAACUCGGGUGAAGGAACUAGGCAAAAUGGUGCCGUAACUUCGGGAGAAGGCACGCUGAUACGUAGGUGAAGCGACUUGCUCGUGGAGCUGAAAUCAGUCGAAGAUACCAGCUGGCUGCAACUGUUUAUUAAAAACACAGCACUGUGCAAACACGAAAGUGGACGGUAUACGGUGUGACGCCUGCCCGGUGCCGGAAGGUUAAUUGAUGGGGUUAGCGCAAGCGAAGCUCUUGAUCGAAGCCCCGGUAAACGGCGGCCGUAACUAUAACGGUCCUAAGGUAGCGAAAUUCCUUGUCGGGUAAGUUCCGACCUGCACGAAUGGCGUAAUGAUGGCCAGGCUGUCUCCACCCGAGACUCAGUGAAAUUGAACUCGCUGUGAAGAUGCAGUGUACCCGCGGCAAGACGGAAAGACCCCGUGAACCUUUACUAUAGCUUGACACUGAACAUUGAGCCUUGAUGUGUAGGAUAGGUGGGAGGCUUUGAAGUGUGGACGCCAGUCUGCAUGGAGCCGACCUUGAAAUACCACCCUUUAAUGUUUGAUGUUCUAACGUGGACCCGUAUCCGGGUUGCGGACAGUGUCUGGUGGGUAGUUUGACUGGGGCGGUCUCCUCCUAAAGAGUAACGGAGGAGCACGAAGGUUGGCUAAUCCUGGUCGGACAUCAGGAGGUUAGUGCAAUGGCAUAAGCCAGCUUGACUGCGAGCGUGACGGCGCGAGCAGGUGCGAAAGCAGGUCAUAGUGAUCCGGUGGUUCUGAAUGGAAGGGCCAUCGCUCAACGGAUAAAAGGUACUCCGGGGAUAACAGGCUGAUACCGCCCAAGAGUUCAUAUCGACGGCGGUGUUUGGCACCUCGAUGUCGGCUCAUCACAUCCUGGGGCUGAAGUAGGUCCCAAGGGUAUGGCUGUUCGCCAUUUAAAGUGGUACGCGAGCUGGGUUUAGAACGUCGUGAGACAGUUCGGUCCCUAUCUGCCGUGGGCGCUGGAGAACUGAGGGGGGCUGCUCCUAGUACGAGAGGACCGGAGUGGACGCAUCACUGGUGUUCGGGUUGUCAUGCCAAUGGCACUGCCCGGUAGCUAAAUGCGGAAGAGAUAAGUGCUGAAAGCAUCUAAGCACGAAACUUGCCCCGAGAUGAGUUCUCCCUGACCCUUUAAGGGUCCUGAAGGAACGUUGAAGACGACGACGUUGAUAGGCCGGGUGUGUAAGCGCAGCGAUGCGUUGAGCUAACCGGUACUAAUGAACCGUGAGGCUUAACCUU
rnacentral:rRNA from 1 species